CCUACGGGCGGCAGCAGUGAGGAAUAUUGGUCAAUGGACGAGAGUCUGAACCAGCCAAGUAGCGUGAAGGAUGACUGCCCUAUGGGUUGUAAACUUCUUUUAUAUGGGAAUAAAAUGUUCCACGUGUGGGUUUUUGUAUGUACCAUAUGAAUAAGGAUCGGCUAACUCCGUGCCAGCAGCCGCGGUAAUACGGAGGAUCCGAGCGUUAUCCGGAUUUAUUGGGGUUAAAGGGAGCGUAGGUGGAUUGUUAAGUCAGUUGUGAAAGUUUGCGGCUCAACCGUAAAAUUGCAGUUGAAACUGGCAGUCUUGAGUACAGUAGAGGUGGGCGGAAUUCGUGGUGUAGCGGUGAAAUGCUUAGAUAUCACGAAGAACUCCGAUUGCGAAGGCAGCUCACUGGACUGCAACUGACACUGAGGCUCGAAAGUGUGGGUAUCAAACAGGAUUAGAUACCCCAGUAGUC
rnacentral:rRNA from 1 species